UACGUAGGGGGGCAAGCGUUGUCCGGAUUUAUUGGGCGUAAAGAGCGUGUAGGCGGCCAUUCAGGUCAGCUGUGAAAACUCGAGGCUCAACCUCGAGACGUCGGUUGAAACCGUUUGGCUAGAGUCCGGAAGAGGAGAGUGGAAUUCCCGGUGUAGCGGUGAAAUGCGCAGAUAUCGGGAAGAACACCCGUGGCGAAGGCGGCUCUCUGGGACGGUACUGACGCUGAGACGCGAAAGCGUGGGGGAGCAAACAGG
rnacentral:rRNA from 1 species